rnacentral:rRNA from 1 species
UUCGGGUGUCACGUAAGUGACGCGGUAGAGGAGCGUUCUGUAAGCCUGUGAAGGUGAGUUGAGAAGCUUGCUGGAGGUAUCAGAAGUGCGAAUGCUGACAUGAGUAACGACAAUGGGUGUGAAAAACACCCACGCCGAAAGACCAAGGGUUCCUGCGCAACGUUGAUCGACGCAGGGUUAGUCGGUUCCUAAGGCGAGGCUGAAAAGCGUAGUCGAUGGGAAACAGGUUAAUAUUCCUGUACUUCUGGUUACUGCGAUGGAGGGACGGAGAAGGCUAGGCCAGCUUGGCGUUGGUUGUCCAAGUUUAAGGUGGUAGGCUGAAAUCUUAGGUAAAUCCGGGGUUUCAAGGCCGAGAGCUGAUGACGAGUCGUCUUUUAGAUGACGAAGUGGUUGAUGCCAUGCUUCCAAGAAAAGCUUCUAAGCUUCAGGUAACCAGGAACCGUACCCCAAACCGACACAGGUGGUCGGGUAGAGAAUACCAAGGCGCUUGAGAGAACUCGGGUGAAGGAACUAGGCAAAAUGGCGCCGUAACUUCGGGAGAAGGUGCGCCGGCUAGGGUGAAGGAUUUACUCCGUAAGCUCUGGCUGGUCGAAGAUACCAGGCCGCUGCGACUGUUUAUUAAAAACACAGCACUCUGCAAACACGAAAGUGGACGUAUAGGGUGUGACGCCUGCCCGGUGCCGGAAGGUUAAUUGAUGGGGUUAGCGCAAGCGAAGCUCUUGAUCGAAGCCCCGGUAAACGGCGGCCGUAACUAUAACGGUCCUAAGGUAGCGAAAUUCCUUGUCGGGUAAGUUCCGACCUGCACGAAUGGCGUAACGAUGGCGGCGCUGUCUCCACCCGAGACUCAGUGAAAUUGAAAUCGCUGUGAAGAUGCAGUGUAUCCGCGGCUAGACGGAAAGACCCCGUGAACCUUUACUGUAGCUUUGCACUGGACUUUGAGCCUGCUUGUGUAGGAUAGGUGGGAGGCUUUGAAGCGUGGACGCCAGUUCGCGUGGAGCCAUCCUUGAAAUACCACCCUGGCAUGCUUGAGGUUCUAACUCUGGUCCGUAAUCCGGAUCGAGGACAGUGUAUGGUGGCAGUUUGACUGGGGCGGUCUCCUCCUAAAGAGUAACGGAGGAGUACGAAGGUGCGCUCAGACCGGUCGGAAAACGGUCGCAGAGUAUAAAGGCAAAAGCGCGCUUGACUGCGAGACAGACACGUCGAGCAGGUACGAAAGUAGGUCUUAGUGAUCCGGUGGUUCUGAAUGGAAGGGCCAUCGCUCAACGGAUAAAAGGUACUCCGGGGAUAACAGGCUGAUACCGCCCAAGAGUUCAUAUCGACGGCGGUGUUUGGCACCUCGAUGUCGGCUCAUCACAUCCUGGGGCUGAAGCCGGUCCCAAGGGUAUGGCUGUUCGCCAUUUAAAGUGGUACGCGAGCUGGGUUUAGAACGUCGUGAGACAGUUCGGUCCCUAUCUGCCGUGGACGUUUGAGAUUUGAGAGGGGCUGCUCCUAGUACGAGAGGACCGGAGUGGACGAACCUCUGGUGUUCCGGUUGUCACGCCAGUGGCAUUGCCGGGUAGCUAUGUUCGGAAAAGAUAACCGCUGAAAGCAUCUAAGCGGGAAAUUUGCCUCAAGAUGAGAUCUCACUGGGAACUUGAUUCCCCUGAAGGGCCGUCGAAGACUACGACGUUGAUAGGCUGGGUGUGUAAGCGUUGUGAGGCGUUGAGCUAACCAGUACUAAUUGCCCGUGAGGC